UACGAAGGGGGCUAGCGUUGCUCGGAAUCACUGGGCGUAAAGCGUGCGUAGACGGCUAUCUAAGUCGGGUGUGAAAGCCCCGGGCUCAACCUGGAAUUGCAUUCGAGACUGAAUAGCUAGGGUACGGUAGAGGGAAGCGGAAUUUCCGGUGUAGCGGUGAAAUGCGUAGAUAUCGGAAGGAACAUCAGUGGCGAAAGCGGCUUCCUGGACCAGUACCGACGUUCAGGCACGAAAGCGUGGGGAGCAAAGGG
rnacentral:rRNA from 1 species